rnacentral:rRNA from 1 species
CGGGUGAGUAACGCGUAUGCGACCUGCCCGUUGCAGGGGGAUAAUCGGGAGAAAUCCCGUCUAAUACCGCGUAAUGCCGCGGGGGCUGCAUGGCCCUGCGGCCAAAGGGAGCGAUUCCGGCAACGGAUGGGCAUGCGUGACAUUAGCUAGUUGGCGGGGCAACGGCCCACCAAGGCGACGAUGUCUAGGGGUUCUGAGAGGAAGGUCCCCCACACUGGUACUGAGACACGGACCAGACUCCUACGGGAGGCAGCAG